rnacentral:misc_RNA from 1 species
AUCUUGACCAACAAUCAUCUCUGUAACUGGAUGCUCAACCUGACAGAGAGUGAUUAUAUCCUAUACUCUACAGUCUACUGAUACAAGAAAGGAAAGGUAUAGACUAAUCAAAAGUACCUGAAGACGGGUAUUCAUCUCCAUAAAAUGAAAUUGUCCAGAUUGUGUAUCAACUAUAAACUCAACAGUUCCUGCACUGUGGUAAUUGACUGCCUUAGCUGCAGAUACAGCUGCUUGACCCAGAUGGGAACGGAAGUCAGAGCUCACGUUAGGAGCUGGAGCUUCUUCUAUUAUCUUCUGGUGUCUUCUCUGCACACUACAAUCUCUCUCAUAGAGAUGUAUUAUAUUACCUUGUUUAUCCCCAA